rnacentral:rRNA from 1 species
UACGAAGGGGGCUAGCGUUGUUCGGAAUUACUGGGCGUAAAGCGCGCGUAGGCGGUGAUCCAUGUCAGAGGUGAAAGCCCGGGGCUCAACUCCGGAAUUGCCUUUAAGACUGCAUCGCUAGAAUUGUGGAGAGGUAAGUGGAAUUCCGAGUGUAGAGGUGAAAUUCGUAGAUAUUCGGAAGAACACCAGUGGCGAAGGCGACUUACUGGACACAUAUUGACGCUGAGGUGGCGAAAGCGUGGGGAGCAAACAGG